CCUACGGAGGCAGCAGUGGGGAUCUUGCACAUGGAGGAAACUCUGAUGCAGCGAUGCCGCGUGAGUGAAGAAGGCCCUUGGGUUGUAAAGCUUUUCCGGGAAGAAAAUGACUGUACCCGAAUAAGAAGGUCCGGCUUAUUCGUGCCAGCAGCCGCGGUAA
rnacentral:rRNA from 1 species